rnacentral:rRNA from 1 species
AGAGUUUGAUCCUAGCUCAGGAUGAACGCUAGCGGUAUGCUUAACACAUGCAAGUCGUACGGAAAAGAAAUUUUUAGUGGCGAACGGGUGCGUAACACGUAAGAAUCUGCCUUUAGGAAGGGGAUAACAUUUAGAAAUAUUUGCUAAUACCCUAUAUGCUUCACAGUGAAAGAAUUUAUUCGCCUAAAGAGGAGCUUGCGUCUGAUUAGCUAGUUGGUAGGGUAAAGGCCUACCAAGGCGACGAUCAGUAGUUGGUCUGAGAGGACGACCAGCCACAUUGGAACUGAGACACGGUCCAGACUCCUACGGGAGGCAGCAGUGGGGAAUUUUCUGCAAUGGGCGAAAGCCUGACAGAGCAAUACCGCGUGAGGGAUGACUGCCUACGGGUUGUAAACCUCUUUUCUCAAGGAGGAAGAUCUGACGUUACUUGAGGAAUAAGCAUCGGCUAACCCUGUGCCAGCAGCCGCGGUAAUACAGGGGAUGCAAGUGUUAUCCGGAAUUAUUGGGCGUAAAGCGUCUGCAGGUUGAUCUAUAAGUCUUUUGUCAAAUCUUUGGGCUUAACCCAAAAACAGCAAAAGAAACUAUUUAUCUUGAGUAUGGUAGAGGUAAGGGGAAUUUCCAGUGGAGCGGUGAAAUGCGUAGAUAUUGGAAAGAACACCAACAGCGAAGGCACCUUACUGGGCCAUUACUGACACUCAGAGACGAAAGCUAGGGUAGCAAACGGGAUUAGAUACCCCGGUAGUCCUAGCUGUAAACGAUGGAUACUAGGUGUUGCGUACUUUAUAGUAUGCAGUGUCGUAGCUAACGCGUUAAGUAUCCCGCCUGGGAAGUAUGCGCGCAAGCGUGAAAC